GAUGAACGCUGGCGGCGUGCUUAACACAUGCAAGUCGAACGAAGCAUUUAAGACAGAUUACUUCGGUUUGAAGUCUUUUAUGACUGAGUGGCGGACGGGUGAGUAACGCGUGGGUAACCUGCCUCAUCCAGGGGGAUAGCAGCUGGAAACGGCUGGUAAUACCGCAUAAGCGCACAGUACCACAUGGUCCAGUGUGAAAAACUCCGGUGGUAUGAGAUGGACCCGCGUCUGAUUAGCUUGUUGGCGGGGUAACGGCCCACCAAGGCGACGAUCAGUAGCCGACCUGAGAGGGUGACCGGCCACAUUGGGACUGAGACACGGCCCAGACUCCUACGGGAGGCAGCAGUAGGGAAUAUUGCACAAUGGAGGAAACUCUGAUGCAGCGACGCCGCGUGAGUGAAGAAGUAGUUCGCUAUGUAAAGCUCUAUCAGCAGGGAAGAUAGUGACGGUACCUGACUAAGAAGCUCCGGCUAAAUACGUG
rnacentral:rRNA from 1 species